rnacentral:rRNA from 1 species
ACUGCCCAUGGAGGGGGAUAACUACUGGAAACGGUAGCUAAUACCGCAUAACGUCGCAAGACCAAAGAGGGGGACCUUCGGGCCUCUUGCCAUCGGAUGUGCCCAGAUGGGAUUAGCUAGUAGGUGGGGUAACGGCUCACCUAGGCGACGAUCCCUAGCUGGUCUGAGAGGAUGACCAGCCACACUGGAACUGAGACACGGUCCAG